AUAGGGUGUUAAUAAACAUGUGGGAUACCUGUGGAGGAUGGAUUCUAGACAUCAAAACGAUGAAAAAAGUUCAUAUACACAUAUAUAUCCGAUAAGGCUUAAUUAACGAGUUAUAAACAUUUUAAAUUUGUGUUAGAUACAGCGAGAUGGCAUAUAAUAUGUUAAUAAGCAUUAAGUAGCCAAAUGUUUCAUCAUUCAAUUUAGUGAGGUGCAUGAGUGAAUUAAUAAGAUUCCCUCUGUCUAUUAAUUUUCUAGUGAAACUACUAACAAAGGGAAUAAGCUUGGAAAAAUUAGCCAGGAAAGAAGAUCCUAGUUAAAUUUGACUCUAGCUUUAUAAAAAAAUAUAAAAACUGUAGUAUAAGCGAGAUGGUAAAUCACAUCAUUGGUGAAAUAUUGCUUUUAUUUUUUUAGGUACUCGGUUGGGUGGAGCACGAAUUUCAGUAUUCUGAGCCAAGCGAGGAUUUUAACUAGGAUGAUACAUCUAUCAAAAAAUAAGUAUUUUUUAUUUAUUUCUAAGAUCAGCAAAAAGAAGACAGAAACCUCGCAUAGAGCAAAAAAGCAAAAGAACUUAAUCUUGAUGUUUAAUACCCACAAAAACUGAAAGAAUAGUCUAUCGAUUCUUUUGGCUUAAAUAGUUUUCAGCAAGAGAUAUAAAAAGGAUUACUAUAAGAAUAAAUUGGCUUUUGGCUAAGACUUCAUAGCGACUUCAUCGUUUUUUAAUCC
rnacentral:ncRNA from 1 species